GACGAACGCUGGCGGCGUGCUUAACACAUGCAAGUCGAACGAAGAGCGAUGGAAGCUUGCUUCUAUCAAUCUUAGUGGCGAACGGGUGAGUAACGCGUAAUCAACCUGCCCUUCAGAGGGGGACAACAGUUGGAAACGGCUGCUAAUACCGCAUACGAUCUAAUCUCGGCAUCGAGGAUAGAUGAAAGGUGGCCUCUACAUGUAAGCUAUCACUGAAGGAGGGGAUUGCGUCUGAUUAGCUAGUUGGAGGGGUAACGGCCCACCAAGGCGAUGAUCAGUAGCCGGUCUGGGAGGAUGAACGGCCACAUUGGGACUGAGACACGGCCCAGACUCCUACGGGAGGCAGCAGUGGGGAAUCUUCCGCAAUGGACGAAAGUCUGACGGAGCAACGCCGCGUGAGUGAUGACGGCCUUCGGGUUGUAAAGCUCUGUUAAUCGGGACGAAAGGCCUUCUUGCGAAUAGUGAGAAGGAUUGACGGUACCGGAAUAGAAAGCCACGGCUAACUACGUG
rnacentral:rRNA from 1 species